AGCAGACACCAAUGUCUAACUUGUUUUGUCAUUUUCACAGUUUUCAUUUCCAUGUACAUCUAAUAUGGUUCGACAAAAGAACUUCAUCAGCCAAGGGAAUGCCACAGUCUUCGGGGAAGAAAACAUGGCUACAUCUGGAGAGAGCUUAAAGAUCUACUAUGACUAGAAAGUAAGAAAGCCCAGAUGGUCCUAUGAUGACUCAACAAUGGAUGACAAGGAAAACACAAGAACACCUUUUUAAGACGAGGUCCACUUUUGAGAACUUUGACUGGAAAUCAUAGUGCUUCAUUUGUGGUGAAAAGUGCAGCCGUCAUAGAGACAAUACAUCAAGAGAAAGUCAAAGGAGAUGGAACAGGUCAUUCAAGAUGACAAUGAGUGUUCAUGCGAUGAACUACCAGAGUCAGAGGACGACACAGAUGAAGCUGUAGUUCAUAAGGUGAUGGGUAUUUUGAGAAGACGAAUUAUAGAGAAUAAUCCUAAAUUUGAUGACUUCUUUUACGCUCCAGAAGAAAUCAAAUUGUCAGAUCAGAAGCAGUUUGUGAGGCCUCUUCUUUACAAGGCAGUGUGUUGGUUACAUGACAAAAAAUGCUACAAGGAAGCUUCUGAGAGGACCAUUACAAGAUGUCUAGCUGUUGCUUGUGACCUAACUACACUUGUCACGUAAAACCCAUCCCCUACACACCUGGGCUUAGGGAUAUACCUCAACAACGAGUUUGGCAGCCGCUAUCUGAUUGAAGAUAUGUACUCUCUUGUUUAUUCCAUCUCAUAUCCAGAUCUUCGGUUAUUCUUGACAUCAGCAGCCCAACAGAACAUUGCAUCACACAAAAUAACAUACUCUGGUGGUAUUGUACCAGACAAUAUACUACCUAGAGACCAAAGGGGGAAGCUUGUAGUGGCAGUUGCUGAUAACUGGAAUCUGAAUGAGCGAACAGUUGAUGGUAAAAGGACGACUCAUGCGAUGACAAGCAUGUUGGUCAGCAGUGCGCCAGCCGAGUCAAUGAGGAUGCCGCGACUUCCGAAAGCAACAAGUAGGACGUUUGACAGUCAGUCACUUUCUGGUUUACAGGAGUUGUGUUUCAGUGUUUGUAACUUGAAAACAUAAUUUGUUAUUUGCAUCAUUUGUAUUAGUAAAUACAAUGUAAAACCUCAUAAUUUACAACAUUUGUAAAUAACGUUUAUGAGUCUGUAUCAAGCACUAAUAACUGGUUGGAUUUGAUUGUUGAAUAAAUAUGAUACAUGGAA